GACUUUACUGAGGCUGCCUCUGCAGGGUUUUGCCUUUGGUUUCGAAGCCGCAGGAGAGGCACCUGUUGGGAGUCAGCCACCUAGGUGUCCAGGGGCCAAAGAUAAAAAGGAGUCUCUGUAAUCAAGAAAGGAGUUUUGGUUUCCACUUGGACUGAAUUUUCUGGAUGACUUUAAAAUGCUGUCAUCUGCCUGUGUAGAACUAACAUCAGGUCCUGGAACCAAACCCCUGUGGAUACUGCGGGAUGACAGUACAGUUCUUCGCUGGAGGUGCUACGCUAGAGAUAUUUGGAGGCAACUCCCGUGUCCCCCGAGAGUCUUCUCCCAGCUAAACCUCUGCAGAUCCUUCACCACUUUCUCCUGUGGGUCUGAGUCAUCCCGCACCAUUAUCUAGAGAUGCUCCAGUUCGUCCAAGUCCCUUUGAAACUGAAGAUGCUGCUUCACUCACACGGAAACUCAGCCUCAGAGGCAGCAGCUUAAAACCAACAAGGAAAAUCAGUCAAACCAUGUCCAAGUUAUUCAGACAAAAGUAAAUGUUGGUUUUCCAUUUUAGUUUUUUCUACUCUGCAGCAGUUAAGACCUGACUCAGUUAUGAAGCCCAGAAAGGAGAAAAGCGUAUUGCGAGCUAACCCUGCGACUUCCACAUUCUUGCAUUUUUAUCCUCACAGAACCCUGAGCGGGUCCUAUUGUUAUUUCUCUGUUGCAGCCUCUGAGGUCAAACAGUCCACCCAAGGUCACACAGCUAAUCAGUAGCAGAGUGAGGUCUCUAACCUGUGACUUACUCUGCAUUUCCCGAAGCUGCUGCCCUGAAUUCUAGAGUUAAAACUGAGGUCCUGGAUUGGAUUUAUUUUUCAGUGUGUUCUGUGACACGCAGCUUUAAUUCAAGGCCAGUUUGUAUGCAUCCUAUUUGUACUGCUAUAAAUACAAGUUGAGAACUUUAGGAGGAACUAAGUUCUUUCUGGAAGCAAAUGAAACAGAAAUUCCGAGUUAUAGCCAAAAGUCAUCCCAAACAUGCUUUUGUUCCAAUGGCAUUACCUAGCAGCAGAGUGUUAUAUCCCUUGAAUUUCCUGCCUGGGCGCGGGGUAGGCCAAGCCCUUGAUGCCCUGUCCAUUGCCCAUGUAGUUCAGGUAUAUCACAGCAUUGCCAUUGCCCCUUGGGCACGCCUGCCCUCCAUGCCAGUUACGUAAGAUAAAGGGACGGAUAUGUUUCCCAUGCACGCACUGUCGUUUUUUUCCCAGUGUUACUAAGCCUGCCAGAACAAAAGUAAAACCACAGAAAGAAGAUUUAGAUCAGCCUCUUCAUCGCCUUGCUCUUAUUUUACAGUUUUAGGAGGGGCUGGACAUCAAACACUUGAAACUGUCAUCCACACAUUCCUUCUCAGAAUAAAGCGGCAUUGGCAUGGACUCCCGCUAAAUUACUUUCUACCCCAGAAUGUUGGAAACUCUUUCCCUCCAGGAAAAUACUCUACAGAAGACACACGGAAUGGACUUAGUUCUGAGAAAGGCUCUCACGUCUAUAGUGAACUGUCACGUGCUGACAUCUGGCCAGAUGGACUCGCUGCCUUGGCAGGGAUGUUGCUUGGAUGCUUAGAUUUUUCUGACUUGCUUGCUAUUGGAAACAGUGCUUGAGAGACCUUUUUCUUACUGCCCUGUCCAAAGUACCCCCCCAAAUUACUGUCACAUAAAUCUCUAUUUUCUUCAAAGUACUUGUGACUGAGUGCUCUUCCUUACACAUUUGUUCACGGUCUACCUUCUCUUGAUCACAACUUGUGCAUGAGUCAAGUAACCUGGUCUGUCUUGUUUAUUACUUGGCACAUAGUAGGUCCUUGGUAAGUAGUUUUUUGAAUGACUACAUCUUUCAUGCAUGUAUAUGUUGCUCUUAUACAAUUUUCUCCUUACAAUCAAUUCUUUGACUAGUCAAACUCCUAGAGGCAGAAAGUGGAACAUGGUUGCCAGGGGCUGGGUGCCAGGGGAAAUGGGGAGUUAGUGUUUAACGGGUACAGAAUUUCCACUGGGGAAGAGAGAAAAGUUCUGCUGGUGGAUGGAGGUGAUGGCUGUACAACCGUGUGAAUGUACUUAAUGCCACUGUCUUGUACAUUUUAAAAUGUUCAAAAUGGUCAAUUUUAUAGUACUUUUAUUCUACUGUGAUACAGGUAAAUAAAUACUGUGAAUCGAAAUUCUUGAGUUGUGUGUGUUUAAAAUUUGGGUAUGUAUCACUGAACUUUCCUUCGGAAGUUAUGCUUAUUUACAUUCCAAGUACCAGUGCCUGAGAAUACCCGUUUCCCAGCACACUGCCGACACUCGACACUCUUUGCUCAGUCUCUUUAUUCCUUGUAUUUACACACACACCCCGGUACACUUAUUUGUGUAACUAUACUUAUCAUUAAGAGUUGAGUAUAU